GAUGAACGCUGGCGGCGUGCCUAAUACAUGCAAGUCGAGCGAACGGACGAGAAGCUUGCUUCUCUGAUGUUAGCGGCGGACGGGUGAGUAACACGUGGAUAACCUACCUAUAAGACUGGGAUAACUUCGGGAAACCGGAGCUAAUACCGGAUAAUAUUUUGAACCGCAUGGUUCAAAAGUGAAAGACGGUCUUGCUGUCACUUAUAGAUGGAUCCGCGCUGCAUUAGCUAGUUGGUAAGGUAACGGCUUACCAAGGCAACGAUGCAUAGCCGACCUGAGAGGGUGAUCGGCCACACUGGAACUGAGACACGGUCCAGACCCCGACGGGAGGCAGCAGUCGGGAAUCUUCCGCAAUGGGCGAAAGCCUGACGGAGCCACGCCGCGUGUGUGAUGAAGGUCUUCGGAUCGUAAAACUCUGUUAUUAGGGAAGAACAUAUGUGUAAGUAACUGUGCACAUCUUGACGGUACCUAAUCAGAAAGCCACGGCUAACUACGUG
rnacentral:rRNA from 1 species